rnacentral:rRNA from 3 species
AAAUUGAAGAGUUUGAUCAUGGCUCAGAUUGAACGCUGGCGGCAGGCCUAACACAUGCAAGUCGAACGGUAACAGGAAGCAGCUUGCUGCUUCGCUGACGAGUGGCGGACGGGUGAGUAAUGUCUGGGAAACUGCCUGAUGGAGGGGGAUAACUACUGGAAACGGUGGCUAAUACCGCAUAACGUCGCAAGACCAAAGAGGGGGACCUUCGGGCCUCUUGCCAUCAGAUGUGCCCAGAUGGGAUUAGCUAGUUGGUGAGGUAACGGCUCACCAAGGCGACGAUCCCUAGCUGGUCUGAGAGGAUGACCAGCCACACUGGAACUGAGACACGGUCCAGACUCCUACGGGAGGCAGCAGUGGGGAAUAUUGCACAAUGGGCGCAAGCCUGAUGCAGCCAUGCCGCGUGUAUGAAGAAGGCCUUCGGGUUGUAAAGUACUUUCAGCGGGGAGGAAGG